rnacentral:rRNA from 1 species
GAGUUUGAUCCUGGCUCAGGACGAACGCUGGCGGCGUGCUUCAUACAUGCAAGUCAAGGAGAACGUACCCUUCGGGGUACUAUUAAACUGGCGAACGGGUGAGUAACGCGUGGGCAACCUGCCCUAGAGAUUGGGAUAACUUCGGGAAACUGGAGCUAAUACCGAAUAAUGCAGCGGAUCCUUCGGGAUACAGUUGUUAAAGCGGGCUUCGGCUCGUACUUUAGGAUGGGCCUGCGUCCGAUUAGCUUGUUGGUAAGGUAAAGGCUUACCAAGGCGAUGAUCGGUAGCUGGUCUGAGAGGAUGAUCAGCCACACUGGGAUUGAGAUACGGCCCAGACCACCACGGUGGGCAGCAGUAAGGAAUUUUGCGCAAUGGGGGAAACCCUGACGCAGCAACGCCGCGUGACUGAUGAAGCUUCUAGGAGCGUAAAGGUCUGUCGUAAGGGAAGAAAAGUUUAGAUGUAAAUAAUGUUUGAACCUGACGGUACCUUACAAGAAAGCACCGGCUAACUUCGUGCCAGCAGCCGCGGUAAUACGAAGGGCCCGAGCGUUAUUCGGAAUCACUGGGCUUAAAGCGUACGUAGGCUGGUAUAUAGGCAUUUUGUGAAAUCCCUCGGCUCAACCGAGGAACUGCAGAGUGAACCAUAUAUCUUGAGACAGACAGAGGUCGUCGGAACGAUUGGUGGAGUGGUGAAAUUCGUUGAUAUCAAUCGGAACGCCGAAGGAGAGGUCAGGCGACUGGGUCUGUUCUGACGCUGAGGUACGAAAGCGUGGGUAGCGAACGGGAUUAGAUACCCCGGUAGUCCACGCCGUAAACAAUGUGCACUAGGUCGAGGGCGUUCUGACGCGACUCUCGGCCGAAGCGAAAGUGUUAAGUGCACCGCCUGGGGAGUACGGUCGCAAGGCUAAAACUCAAAGGAAUUGACGGGGGCUCACACAAGCGGUGGAGCAUGUGGCUUAAUUCGAAGCAACGCGAAGAACCUUAUCCUAGGUUUGACAUACACGGAUUAGCUAUAAGAAACUAUAGUGACACCUUCGGGUGGAACGUGAACAGGUGCUGCAUGGCUGUCGUCAGCUCGUGCUGUGAAGUGUCGGGUUAAGUCCCUUAACGAGCGCAACCCUUAUCGUUAGUUGCUAACAGGUAAUGCUGAGGACUCUAGCGAGACUGCCGGUGUUAAACCGGAGGAAGGUGGGGAUGACGUCAAGUCCGCAUGGCCUUUAUGCCUAGGGCUGCACACGUGCUACAAUGGCAAGUACAGAACGAUGCAAUACCGCGAGGUGGAGCAAAUCGCUAAAGCUUGCCCCAGUUCGGAUUGCAGGCUGCAACUCGCCUGCAUGAAGUUGGAAUCGCUAGUAAUCGCGGAUCAGCACGCCGCGGUGAAUACGUUCCUGA